CCCAGUGACUAAGAACACAGCAUUUGCUUAUUUUGAAUCGGGACUCUUCCUCCGACGAUGGAAAAACACCUGUUCUCGUUCACGCGGAGCUCAGUGAUGGGAAUGAAGAUGUAAAUCCGGUGACCUGUGUGAAAGAUGUGGUUGGCUUUGAACACAAUCAAUGCAGAAUGACCCGGAAACCUGCAUCUUCUACAUCUCCUACUCAUGUCUCUCUGACACAGCAAAGUAAUUUGCUUCUCAGCCAAGCCAGAAAAAAAGAGAUGGGAAGAAAUGGCCCGGGUGUGGUGGCCAGGUGCACUGCUUGUGUGGGGCUGUGUAUCCCGGGGCAGGAAGAAGAUGGUUGUGAAGAAUGCUCCUGGGUCUCCGACAGGUGCAGCUGUUGGCUUGCCGACACAGCUGUUUCCCAGUCUUUGAAGAAUGCACUUUUAUUUCCUUUUAUCAUAUUCAUCAGAGAAGCAACAAAAAUGCACACCCUAAUACACUAUGGAGAAAAGU